GAUGAACGCUAGCGGCAGGCUUAAUACAUGCAAGUCGUGGGGCAGCAUGAAGUAGCAAUACUUUGAUGGCGACCGGCAAACGGGUGCGGAACACGUACACAACCUUCCUUUUAGUGGGGAAUAGCCCAGAGAAAUUUGGAUUAAUACCCCGUAACAUAGCGAUGAGGCAUCUCAUUGCUAUUAUAGCUUCGGCGCUAGAUGAUGGGUGUGCGUAUGAUUAGAUAGUUGGCGAGGUAACGGCUCACCAAGUCUACGAUCAUUAGCUGAUGUGAGAGCAUGAUCAGCCACACGGGCACUGAGACACGGGCCCGACUCCUACGGGAGGCAGCAGUAAGGAAUAUUGGUCAAUGGACGAAAGUCUGAACCCGCCAUGCCGCGUGAAGGAUUAAGGUCCUCUGGAUUGUAAACUUCUUUUAUAUGGGACGAAAAAAGGUCUUUCUAGAUCACUUGACGGUACCAUAUGAAUAAGCACCGGCUAACUCCGUGCCAGCCGCCGCAGUAAGAC
rnacentral:rRNA from 1 species